rnacentral:rRNA from 1 species
AGAGUUUGAUCCUGGCUCAGGACGAACGCUGGCGGCGCGCCUAACACAUGCAAGUCGAACGAGCGAGAGAGAGCUUGCUUUCUCGAGCGAGUGGCGAACGGGUGAGUAACGCGUGAGGAACCUGCCUCAAAGAGGGGGACAACAGUUGGAAACGACUGCUAAUACCGCAUAAGCCCACGGGUCGGCAUCGACCAGAGGGAAAAGGAGCAAUCCGCUUUGAGAUGGCCUCGCGUCCGAUUAGCUAGUUGGUGAGGUAACGGCCCACCAAGGCGACGAUCGGUAGCCGGACUGAGAGGUUGAACGGCCACAUUGGGACUGAGACACGGCCCAGACUCCUACGGGAGGCAGCAGUGGGGAAUAUUGCACAAUGGGGGAAACCCUGAUGCAGCGACGCCGCGUGGAGGAAGAAGGUCUUCGGAUUGUAAACUCCUGUUGUUGGGGAAGAUAAUGACGGUACCCAACAAGGAAGUGACGGCUAACUACGUGCCAGCAGCCGCGGUAAAACGUAGGUCACAAGCGUUGUCCGGAAUUACUGGGUGUAAAGGGAGCGCAGGCGGGAAGACAAGUUGGAAGUGAAAUCUAUGGGCUCAACCCAUAAACUGCUUUCAAAACUGUUUUUCUUGAGUAGUGCAGAGGUAGGCGGAAUUCCCGGUGUAGCGGUGGAAUGCGUAGAUAUCGGGAGGAACACCAGUGGCGAAGGCGGCCUACUGGGCACCAACUGACGCUGAGGCUCGAAAGUGUGGGUAGCAAACAGGAUUAGAUACCCUGGUAGUCCACACCGUAAACGAUGAUUACUAGGUGUUGGAGGAUUGACCCCUUCAGUGCCGCAGUUAACACAAUAAGUAAUCCACCUGGGGAGUACGACCGCAAGGUUGAAACUCAAAGGAAUUGACGGGGGCCCGCACAAGCAGUGGAGUAUGUGGUUUAAUUCGACGCAACGCGAAGAACCUUACCAAGUCUUGACAUCCCUUGACAGGCAUAGAAAUAUGUUUUCUCUUCGGAGCAAGGAGACAGGUGGUGCAUGGUUGUCGUCAGCUCGUGUCGUGAGAUGUUGGGUUAAGUCCCGCAACGAGCGCAACCCUUAUGGUCAGUUACUACGCAAGAGGACUCUGGCCAGACUGCCGUUGACAAAACGGAGGAAGGUGGGGAUGACGUCAAAUCAUCAUGCCCUUUAUGACUUGGGCUACACACGUACUACAAUGGCGUUAAACAAAGAGAAGCAAGACCGCGAGGUGGAGCAAAACUCAGAAACAACGUCCCAGUUCGGACUGCAGGCUGCAACUCGCCUGCACGAAGUCGGAAUUGCUAGUAAUCGUGGAUCAGCAUGCCACGGUGAAUACGUUCCCGGGCCUUGCACUCACCGCCCGUCA